GUGCUGGUCAUGUGACGGUCAUGUGACCGUCAUGUGACUAUUCCAGGAAAUGACGUCGACAAAAUGGCCGCAUGUCAGUCCUACUAGCUGCCAUUACAAGAUCAACACCUCUUUUGUGGCUCCAUGGAGGAGGAGGAAGGAAUAUAACUCAUCAUCUUCAUCUUCAUCUUCAUCAAGACGCCAAUUAUUUAGCAUCAUCAUUUUAGUGACACUGUCCGACCCCGGCUCACUCUCCCUUUGACCCUUGAGUGCGACCACGGUGACCUCAUAGAGACAAGAGUGAAACAUGGAAGUCAGGAGAGAAGCCGUAGACCAGGGAGGCCAAUGGGACACCACAGGACUUUGUUACGUCAGAGACCACAACAAGAACCCAGUCCAAGACCCUGGUCGGACAACAGGACAUGACCAAAGGACUGGAGCAAAGUACAAGUCCGGAGUGGUGUAAAACCGCUUGGAGGAUAAAAAAAUGAAUUGACAACCACUCCGGACUACGAGCAGACAUGAAGCCAGUGAGCAAGGCACACACAACACACAACCUGUGGUCAUGUGACUCAGACACACACUUCCUGGUGGGGUUAGUCCACAUACACAGACCCUUUUCCACAGCACCCAGCGAGACUAUGGACCAUGGGAACCAAGGCCAGUAUUUAGUUUUGGGCUAGUGAUCCAGGAUGUUUUUAGCCCAAACUUGGUGUGGGUUGUAAUACUCAACUGACUCUUUACAUCUUCAAGGUAUUGUACUUUUUUACUUUUUAACUCAUCAUUUUUACUUUUUAACUCAUCAUUUUUACUUUUUAAGUCUUCAUUUUUGCUUUUUAUCUCAUCAUUUUUACUUUUUAUCUAACCAUUUUUACUUUUUAUGUCAUUUGGAUUUUUUAAUCUCAUUUCGAUUUAUUUUUUAUCUCAUGAUUUUUACUUUGUAUCUCAUUUGUAUGUAUUUUUUUUAUUAAUUUGGAUUUUUUAAUCUCAUAAUUAUGUUUAUCUCAUAUUUCUGACUUUUCUCCCCAUACUUUACACUUCUUAUCUCAAAAUUGUAUUUUUUUUAAAUCUCAUAGUUAGGACUUUUUAUCUAAUAAUUUCAAUUUUUAAUCUCAUAAUUUCAAUUUUUUUUUAAAUCUCAUAAUUAUGACCUUUAUUUCCUCAUAAUUUCGAUUUUUUAUCUAAAUUCUGACUAUCUCAUUAUGAUUUUUUUAUCUCAUAAUUUGGACUAUCUCAUAAAGCGGACAUUUAAUUGAAUAAUUAUGACUUUAUCUCAUAAAUUAAAUUUUUUGAUCUCAUAAUUUCAAUUUUGAUUUAAUAAUUUUGACUUUUUAUCUCAUA